rnacentral:rRNA from 1 species
GACGAACGCUGGCGGCGUGCUUAACACAUGCAAGUCGAACGGAGAGGCCCUGCUUUUGUGGGGUGCUCGAGUGGCGAACGGGUGAGUAACACGUGAGUAACCUGCCCUUGACUUUGGGAUAACUUCAGGAAACUGGGGCUAAUACCGGAUAGGAGCUCCUGCUGCAUGGUGGGGGUUGGAAAGUUUCGGCGGUUGGGGAUGGACUCGCGGCUUAUCAGCUUGUUGGUGGGGUAGUGGCUUACCAAGGCUUUGACAGGUAGCCGGCCUGAGAGGGUGACCGGCCACAUUGGGACUGAGAUACGGCCCAGACUCCUACGGGAGGCAGCAGUGGGGAAUAUUGCACAAUGGGCGGAAGCCUGAUGCAGCAACGCCGCGUGCGGGAUGACGGCCUUCGGGUUGUAAACCGCUUUCGCCUGUGACGAAGCGUGAGUGACGGUAAUGGGUAAAGAAGCACCGGCUAACUACGUG